CAUAAUGCAGCGGCACCUAAUGGUGACAGCAACGGCGUGGGAUCGAAAGACCUCGCGUCUGAAGAGGAGCCUGCGGCGGAUUAGCUAGUUGGUAGGGUAACGGCCUACCAAGGCGACGAUCCGUAGCCGGCCUGAGAGGGCGGUCGGCCACACUGACACUGACAUACGGGUCAGACUCCUAUUGGAGGCAGCAGUCGGGAAUUUUGGGCAAUGGGCGAAAGCCUGACCCAGCAACGCCGCGUGAAGGAUGAUACCUCGUUAUGUAAACUUCGCAAGAUCUUUGUGAGAGGGGGGUCUGCGCCCCCUAUCUUUUUGCGAUGACGGUACCGUUUGUAAGCUCCGGCUAACUCCGUGCCAGCAGCCGCGGUAAUACGGGGGGAGCAAGCGUUGUUCGGAUUUUACUGGGCGUAAAGGGCGCGUAGGCGGCCACCGCAAGUCAAUUGUGAAAUCUCCGGGGCUUAACUCGGAAAGGUCAACUGAUACUGCGGGGCUAGAGUGCGGAAGGGGCAA
rnacentral:rRNA from 1 species